rnacentral:lncRNA from 1 species
AAAGCGAAGGCAUCUUGCUAGCUAACACAACCCUCGGGGCGGAGAACCGGACGACCAGUAACGUUCUGUCCGCCGAUGCCAAUUCGUUGUCCUACGCAAGAACAGAGCCUGAGAUGUUGAGGAUUGUGUACGGAACCGGCAAUGAGCACCUUUCCGGAGGAUUUUUCCCCUUGGGUGCAAACGGCAAAAUUGCAAGGAGCCACCUCCUUAUAUAAUACUCUUUGAUGGGAUCUUUCCUAGCAUCUAUGCUACCUAGCUAAUAACAAUAAUAUAAAUAAGGGUGAUAUAUAUGAUACAUACUACACGAGAAUAAUUAGCAUUCAUAUAUGCAUUUGAUUAUGUAUCGAUCAUAAACGUACAAAAUGAUUAAUCGAAGUGUUCUCAUUUACAUUACACCGAGCAAUCGUAUAUAUAUUAUACUUGUGCCUAUAUAUAUAUAUAUAUAUAUAUAUAUAUAUAUANNNNNNNNNNNNNNNNNNNNCUCAUCCUCCCUGUGAUUCCAUUUUUGAGGAGUGGAGGUCCGGUGAGAGAGAAAAGGAGGAAAGAAGGCGAUUGGGUUUUCGAUCGGAUUUCCGAUACCGGCGGACGGGGGCGAGCGUGACCGGUAUUGGCAGCUUGAUCUCGUUCUCCCUGACGUCGCUGUGCUAUUGGAUUUUCAUGGGAAGCUGAGGAGAGAGAGAUUCAACGAAGGGAAACUUUUCUGGGUUGCCGGCGAGUUCUCGAUUCCGGCCACGGCGGCGGGCGUGGAUGGUGUUGGUAGCUUUGUCUCGGUCUUGUCGACGUCUCUGUGCCUUCAGCUUGCAGAGGUGAGGUCCGGUGAGUGAGAAUCGAUGUAAAGGAGUGGUUUGAGUUUUCCGGCGAGGGUUCAAUGCUUUCCGGCCACCGUCGUUGGCAAGUGAGGUAUUAAACAUGAUCUUAUCAUCGAACUCUAUCUUUCUGUGUAGUUACAUUUGAGGUUGGUUGGGAUUUGAAGAAAUUGGGUUUUGGGCAGUGGAGGACCGCCGUGUAUGCUACUGUACACGGCGGCGUUGAUGAUGCUUUGGGUUUUGGAGUAGCUAUCUUUCAUAUUGAUAGAAGCUUUGGAAUAUAAUCUCCUGGUUGGUUGUAAUUGAAUUUGAGGCUGUGAUUAUUGAGAUUGAUGUGUGGGUUGUUAUUUUGGUGAAAUGAGAAGGAAUGGCAGUAAGGGGGAGGUCGGACUAGCGGCUGCAUUCUCGGUCAAGGAAUUGAAAUUGAGUAUUCAGCUGUGUUAUGAUCAACCUGAUAUUAAGGAAGGACAAGGAGAAAUCGUGGUAUUGGAAGAAAGGAUGUUAACUCGCACCUUGUUAAUUAACUGGUGCUAUCAAGUUUGGUGUAGUCAAUUGAAUUAUGGAUUUUGUGAGUUGUGAGUUGUAUGAUCGUGAUGAUUUGCAUGGUAGUCACUGUGUUGAAAAGCUGAUAUUAAUAUUGAAUAUAUAAAGGGAAGAUGCUAAUUAAAUCAUUGCUGUAUAAAUCACGAUCAGAGCCUGAAGUUGCUUGUAUAUUACUGUUAGACAGUUGUUGGAUUUAGUAUAAUGUUAGGAAAGUUGAUGGGUAGUGGUUUUGGGUGUCCAUAGAAAAAUCAGAGAUAGGUUAGUAAUUGAAGUGUUGAUAUGAGCAAGCCUAAAGGUGAAUUGGAAUGUGACGAUGAAUUUUAAUAUGAGUGAGCAUGGUAUGUAAUUAGGAAACUAUUGGAGAAAGUGAGAGGAAGUGUGGGAUUGAGAACUUGGGUGUCCUUAUCAAUUUGAGGACUUACACCCAUACAAAUUCUAGAUUCGAUACAGUUGUUGUUGAAGGUAGAGAAUUAGUAUAAAAUGUUGAACUACGAGUGGCUUGAUCACUUUAAAAGAGUACGUAGGCAGCCCGAUUAAGUUUUGGGUGCAGCCGCAAAUUAACAAAAUAAAUUUAGGUUCCAAACGCGUCAAACAUGUUCGUUGUUUUUGUUUGAUUAUGAGAUCCUAUCUCAUUUUCGAUUUAGGAUUUCCUUAUUUAUUUUAUUCAUUUAUUUUUUUUAACACCUGGGUCAGGGUGUUACAUAAGUGCAUAAAGUGAUUAAUGGGUCAAAAGUCAGUGACCAUUUAUGAUAUUUUGCCUAUUAGAAAAGAAGGAGGGUUUCGCAAGCCUUUGUUAGAUAUCAACCGUCAGAAUUUUGCAAAACUAGCUAAUGGAUCGAACAGGUAGGUUUCACCUUGAUCCUGCCAUUUGAUCCAUAUGCAGACUCACUGAAGUUUCUUUUGGCAACCUACUUGAUCCCUUAUGUUGGAGAAAAUGGUUAUGUUGGCACAGUUUCUUACCUUAGAAAAAGAAAAUAUUGUAGAGUAAGAACUCAUCUCUCACUUUCGAGAAAACUCCAUCCGUAAAAUUAUUCUUAUUACGUGAUAUUAAGUAACUUAAUAUUGAGUUUGGACAUAUAUCUACUGGUCAAUCAAUACUGUGGUUUCACAAGUUUAAAAACGAUAAACAAUAUUCACAUACGUGAGUGCGGUCAUUCCACACGCAUGCGUGCGUGCAAGAAGGCUAGUAUAGACUAAUUACAAUUUUUACAGGGUAGUUCUUGUUGUAUAUAUAGUUGGCUGCAUCACUGUUGGCGGUUGAGGCGGGACAAGAUGCAAUCGUACGUGCAUUUCUGUAUCAAAGAGCCUAUGAGAAGGUGCAGCCCUAUAACCUCACAGUGGCUCAUUUUACAAACCGUAUUUCUAUGCUUAGGAACGAGCUUGGAAUGUGUGGGAUCAAAGAUGAAGGCAUCAUAGUGCCGGAAGAGCUCGGGGCCGAGAAUCGGACGUCCAGUAACAUCAUAUCGGCCGAUCCUAGCUCGCUUGCGUAUGCAAGAACACCGCCGGAGAUAUUGAGGAUUGUUUACUCAAGUGGGAAUGAAUCACUGCCGGGAGGAUUUUACCCUGAAGGUGCAAAUGGGAAAAUUGCAAGGAGCUUCCUGAAGAUCAAGUAACACAACUAUAUCUCAAGGCCAUUAUCAGAUUGCCUGCUAAUNNNNNNNNNNNNNNNNNNNNUAAUUUGUAUGUUAAAGAGCAGUCUCAGUGAUAGAUUUUAGAAUUAAAUUUAGUUUACCUCCAUGAAGUUUGGGAGUAACUUCAUGUUAAUUCCUAUACUUUCAAUUUCAUCAGUUUACCUCUCAAACUUUUGAAUUUUCCUCAAGCGUGACCAAAUGUCCUAUAUUCUGUCCAAAUCGGAUGUUAACUACUGAUAAUUUUAACCAUAACUGUGAGGCUAGUAUCUAGAAUUUGGGCAAAUCGGACCUUAUAUGUCCAAAUCGAACCUUAACUGCUGAUAAUUAAAGGUCAAUUCAAGCGGAAUAUGAGAAUUUGGGCACGGCAGACAGAAAUUGAAGAGUUCAAGGGGUAAACUGAUGAAAAUAAAAAUGUAGAGACUAACAUGAAGUCACCCCCAAACCACAAGGGGGUAAACUGAAUUUAAUUCUAGAUUUUAACAGAUAAAUAGAUUCAGGACUUGUUCAUGUUCACUCGUGGUUAACUUUGGCUUUAACCUUUCUUGUUAGUCAAUGUUGGAUAAUAUAUCCAAGGGUAAUACAAAACAAAAGCUUGAACGUUGUUAAAUUAACCUACGUACAGCGCGGUCCAUCUGAUACCAAACAAGUAGAAGUAGUAUACUACUAUACGUACCUCUCAACUUAUAUAUAGAGGGAUCGAUGAUAGGGUUUGCGACCUUGAGUUUAAGAUGGUAGGUGGGUUAAUUAGUUAUGGGAGAAGAGUGUAGGGAGGCCGAGCCUUCGCUCUGCUUACCUAGGGAUAUAAUAUAGAAAAGUAAUUUUGACACUCUUACAACUUCCAUUCCAUUUUAACCACAUAAAACUAUGUACCACAAUCAUUAAUUACCGUAGUUGUCUUUACAAGUAAUUGAAAGGUCUUGAAAAUACUUGAUCGUUGAGUUUUGGCUUUGGAUACUAACAUUCUUCGACCAAGCAAUUGUUUUGAAUAACUCGUGAACUUAAAGUUUUCAACAAAUUAAUAAGCAAAUAAACCAUUAAAAGUGGAUUCAUGAAGGAUAAUAAGUCGAUUACUAGCUCGCAAAAAUUGGACUUCAAUGGCUUUCAAAAAUAGAGUUAAAAUCAAUUAGCAUCAAAUAAUUAGGCAUGUGAUGGUACCAUUAUAAUGAUAACAAGUACACAAGGGUGUCACAUAAUGUGGGUUUACGGAUUACCAAGAUCACGCAUCUUUAGCAUUGUGUAUAUUUUACGAGAUUAUUUUGUUAAGAAUCAUGGAUUACUAAAGCUAAAAUUGCAGAUAAAAAACGAAAAGAAAACGCAGAGAAGACUGAAGGCUACAUUGUGUUUUUGAAUGCGGAAAAAAGAGGCUAGGUUACAACAAUUAAUUGCAUAAUCCUAAUUUACAAUCUUUUGGUACCACAAAUUAAAUCCAAUUAACCAAUUACGUACUCUCUCAGCAACUGCAUGGGGUUCGGGCACGUCUAUAUAAACCCAGUAAUGCAUGCUUCAUUCACUCGUACUAACACCAUUACAGCAUUUGCUUCCUGCUUUCGUCGAUCAAUAUGGCUCCUUCAAUUUCCACUUUCUCUUCUGUCUUCCUUGUUCUUCUUGCACUGUACCUCAACCUCAGUCAUCACCAUGUCACGAGUACUCUGGUUACUAUUAGUCCCCCUAGCUGCGCACCCAUUAAUGCAGCUGAUGUUGAUCGCAUGCAGUUUGCCUGAACUUAGAAUUCUGUCAAGCCGAGUACUUUCUGUACGGCGCUACUGGCCAAGGCCUCGACAGCUAUGCUCCGGGUUUGUCCGGAGGUGGUCCGCCUCCCAUCGGUGCUCAGAAGGCCAUGCUUCUCGACGACCCUGAUGUUGCUCGCACCAGUGAGGAGAUUGCUUAUCAACAAAUUGGUAACAUCAGGUACCUGUUCGUUGAGAUAUUGUCUUGUAACCAAUAGACGUAAACAAAUCUACACAAGAUACCACCUCGAUCAGUCACACUAUUUGUUGCUAGCUACUAUAUUACGACUUGACAUAUGGUAUUGUUAUAUAUAUUUCAGGUCUAUUGUUCAGAAUGGAGGAGGAAUUCCAAGGCCUCUACUGAAUCUCGGACUCGUAAAUUGGGGAUUAUUUUUUGACCUAGCACUGAAGACACCUCUAAUCCCUCCAUUUAAUCCAUACGCGAACUCACUCAAUUUUCUGUUAGGCGCCUAUGCCAUGCCUGAUCUCGCACAAAUCUCCUAUGUCAGCUCCAUUCCGAGCCUCACCACAAAUUCUUCUUCAUUAUCUGUGAGUAUUAAGAACUGGGAUUAUCGAUCGUACAUGUAAUUAACUUACUGCAUGUAAUUAACAUUUAUUUCCUUUUUCUUUUUAUGGGAAUCACUUAUAGUUGGCUGCAAAGCUUUUGGCGAUCAAGGCUGGACAAAGUGCGGUGCUACGUGCGUUGUUGUAUCCGAAAGCGACUCAACUGGUGCCUCCAUAUAAUUUCACGGUGCGUGAGUUCACCAAGGCCAUUUCCCAGCUCACUAACGACCUUGGCAAGUGCGGCAUCAAAAGCGAAGGCAUCUUGCUAGCUAACACAACCCUCGGGGCGGAGAACCGGACGACCAGUAACGUUCUGUCCGCCGAUGCCAAUUCGUUGUCCUACGCAAGAACAGAGCCUGAGAUCUUGAGGAUUGUGUACGGAGCCGGCAAUGAGCACCUUCCCGGAGGAUUUUUCCCCUUGGGUGCAAACGGCAAAAUUGCAAGGAGCUACCUCCUUAUAUAAUACUCUUUGAUGGAAUCUUGCCUAGCAUCUAUGCUACCUUAUAACAAUAAUAUUAAUAAGGGUGAUAUAUAUGAUACAUGCUAAAUAGACUACACGAGAAUAAUUAGCUUUCAUAUAUGCAUUUGACCAUGUAUCGAUCAUAAAC